UACGGAGGGGGCGAGUGUUGUUCGGAAUCACUGGGCGUAAAGGGCGCGUAGGCGGCUUGGCCAGUCGAGUGUGAAAGCCCUUGGCUUAACCAAGGAAUGGCGCUCGAAACUACCUCGCUAGAGGGCGGGAGAGGGAAGUGGAACUCUCGGUGUAGGGGUGAAAUCUGUAGAUAUCGAGAGGAACACCGGUGGCGAAGGCGGCUUCCUGGCCCGUACCUGACGCUGAGGCGCGAAAGCGUGGGGAGCAAACAGG
rnacentral:rRNA from 1 species